rnacentral:rRNA from 1 species
UGCCAGCCGCCGCGGUAAUACAGAGGGUGCAAGCGUUAAUCGGAAUUACUGGGCGUAAAGGGCGCGUAGGUGGUUUAUUAAGUUAACUGUGAAAGCCCCGGGCUUAACCUGGGAGGGUCAGUUAAUACUGGUAGACUAGAGUACAGUAGAGGGUAGUGGAAUUUCCUGUGUAGCGGUGAAAUGCGUAGAUAUAGGAAGGAACACCAGUGGCGAAGGCGGCUACCUGGACUGAUACUGACACUGAGGCGCGAAAGCGUGGGUAGCGAACAGGAUUAGAUA